GAGGUAACUAGAUUGAUAGAUGUAUAUAGCUAUGCCAACGGAAGCGAAACCCUUAAUGAGAGCUUUACGGCGGAGUCACACAUCUUCUCCGUCACUGUCACCGUCAAAUUCCUCUACAUCGUCAUCGUGGAAUCAUUUGCGAUCGGUUCUAUUAAUAGUUGCUUCUUCAUCAUCAUCAUCUUAAUCAUCCUCACCAGUGUCUACUGAUCGAGGUAAUCUUAAAUCUCCUUGGUCCCGAUUAAGAAGAAAACAUGCCCUUCUACCAAAACAGUGGAAAAGUUUAUUUACACCAGAUGGAAGACUUGGUGAUGGUGGAGUCAAACUUCUGAAGAAAGUUCGCAGUGGAGGUGUUGAUCCUAGUAUUAGAGCAGAAGUUUGGCCAUUCUUCCUUGGAUUGUAAGAAUCCUAUCUAUGCUCUUUUUUUACUUUUGUAUACAGCUGUAGUCAGUUGUUUAAACGAGCCCUGUGCUUCUGAGGGCAUAACUAUAAGGAUAAUAAAUUAAUAUUUCAUGACAUUUAUUAGUUAGUUAUUCUACUAGAAACGAGAGAAAAAUAAUGAUGCUUGCAGUAUUAUGGUAAUUGAA